AAAGUGAGCACUGUACACUUUGUAUUGUGUUGUAAUUGAAAUUAAUAUAUUUGAAAAUGUAGUAAACCUCCAAAAAUAAAAUAAACGGUGUUCUGUUGUUGUUUAAUAGUGCAAUUUAAUCACAAUAAAUUUUUUAAAUCGCUGGAUAGCCCUAAUAGAGGUUGUAUUAAGCUUUACAGUGAAUAAAGUUUGUAUGAAUACAAGGCAUUCUGGGAAUGAUGAUAUUGGCUAUUAGUAGGUAUGUAUACAUCUCCCCCGCCCCCUUUAUAUUUAAAAAAAAAAAAAGUGCUCAAGUCGAGCUACUAACUUGAAUUAAAAGCAGAAUUGCUGUGUCUUCGGUGCUGUUUUAACCUGGAUUACCUAACAUGGGUUAGCUAACCCCGCUACACUGCAAAUAGCAGAUAUGUUACAUACACAGCAUAGCUCUUGUGUUUCGCAAGUAUAGACAUUCACACUAGUUACUCCAAUCUAACUCUGGAAGUGAAGACUAGCUGAAACACCGUACCUGUCCCAUAGAAUUCACAAUCUGCACUAAUGUGAUAGAGACCCAGUGUGGAUUUUUAAAUUGUCAUUCAGCAAGUAUGUGAAAACAUGAACAUUUGCAGAUUAGUUAAUACUUUGCUGACUGAGCCUCAUAUCUUUCUGUAGGAAAAUCAGAACAGCAGAAAAAUGCUAGAUUUUAGGGUUUUUGUUCAGAGCUGUGUAAAUCAACAAGAGAUUAGUUACAAUGAUGAUAAUGGAAAAGUGCUUUCUGUUCCCAUGGAAAAAUGCCAUCUGCUUUUGCUUGUCAAACAUGGCGUUUGUGACUCUUGGUGACCGAGAAGGAUGCUAGGGAAGGAAAAUCAAAGGAAACAAAAUUAGCAACCAGCAGACUGAAUCAAACAGGUUAGACCAAACUAAGAAUAGGGAGUUAAUCCCUGGGAUCGUUGCUCCUGUGAUUUAGGAGAAAUUUCUUUAUCUGGACUGCUGCCCAUACCCACUUGGAGGGGCUACAUCUUAAAACCACUCAUAUUUCAAGAGGUGCAGAAUAUGGUAGCCUAUUUAUUAAACUGUGCUUUGUGAUCUGGAAUAGCUCCUACUUUGUUUUCAGGUACAAAUGAAGGAGUUAGCAUUGUCCUAUGUCUGCUCAUAGGCUUUGUUUGUUUUUGUUUUGUUUUGUUUCAAAUUCCUAGCUGAAAUAGGCAUGUCAGCAAAGCUUUAUGGCAUAGACUUAUGCCGUAGUAGAUUUCUUCCUGCUUUGUCACUUAUUCACAUAGCAACCACAAAAUCAGUUUUUAAAGGAUGCUACAGUUACUUUAUGUCCAAGUGACUUGUAUGUUAAUUUUUUUAAUUCACUUUGGUUGAUAUACAAAGCUGAGUUUAAUUUCUCUCUCCUUUGAUGCAACUUUAGUUAUUAAGCCAUAACAUCAUGGGCCACAUGUGGUGAUAUUCUUAGUUAUAAGAGUUUUAAAGAAUAUUCUCCCAUAUCUUAUAAUAUGCAUCUUAUGGUUUUUCAUUUUAUUUCUAAGCUUGUGAAACAAGACUCUUAACUUAAUGCAUCUUUGUAGAACACUUUUUUUUUUUUUUUUUUUCCAGAAGGGAAAUGUAGGAUUUUAAAUAAUUUUUGUGAUCUACCAUUUCUGGUUACUAUGCUCUCUUUCCCUUGUUUGGGAAGUGUUGAGAUUAAAUUAUAUUUUUUCAAUUACUUGGAUGAUCUUUGAAUUGUUAAAUGAGGUUAUGGUACAUAUCUGGUUAAUGUCAUGUACUUUGAUGUCAUCAUUAGGGAGAUGAGGGUUCAUUAGCAAACACUUUCCCUAUAAAUUUUAUAGCUGUCAGUAAUUCUUAAUCUAGUUGAUGGGGGGAGAGUAGAAAUGGCACAUGCUAGUUGAUGAUGAUAUAGUGUGCUUUGGACCUUGUGCUUUGGUAAUUUGGUUUGACACUUUGAUUAUAUUGAACUUUUUAACGUGUGUGUGUGUGUGUGUGUGUGUGUGUGUGUAUGUAUGUGUGUGUGUGUAUAUAUAUAUGUGUGUAUAUAUAUAAUUCUAUUCUAUUCUUUUCACUGACUUUGCUAUGGUAGCUUUAUAUAUUUUUGAACACUUACUCAGGUUUCUAGAUUCUAUCCUUGAGAGGUCAGGAUAUAAUAGACUUUUAGUAGCAUAAUUGGGGUUUUUGUUUUUAAUAUUGUGUUCUCAAAAUGUAAUAUUGGAAAGCAGCAUUUUUUUUGCAACUUUUGACUAAAUUCACUGAAAAACAUCUUUAAUGCAAAGGUAAGGUUGCCUAUGGUGUCUCUUUCCUUUCCAGAACAUAGAGUGCAGUGACACUCAGACUUCUGAAACCAGGAAAGAAACAAAGAGUUAAGGUAUUUCAAAUAUCAGCUUCUGAAAUCAGGAAAUAGGGUUAAAGUACACAAUAACACAACCUUCACUGUGCCACCCUAGAGCUGGUAAUAGCCACUCCAGAUGAAUUCACUAUGCUAGCUGUAGCUGUAUUGAAUGGUGGAGGGGUUAGUUGGAGCACCUUGGCUGAUCUGUGAUUGUGAUAAGAGGCAAUCUGGGAGGAGGCUGGCCCUCUGUGCGGGUCUGCGCUCCUCAUUUGUGUGAUCAAAGAAAAGAGGUGCAUAUGUAGUUUGAGGGAUUCAAUAUGUCUCAUUUCAGUGCUAAAAUUCUGUAGGUUGAGUAGCAGUAGUGCACAAGAGUCAUUUUUAGCAUGGGGAUUGUCAGCAGUGAGGUGGUAUAUGAGUGGUUUGUGGGUUUAAUGAUCGGUAAAUGAAACUAUAGUAUUAGAUGGAAUCCUGCAGUGAGAGUGAAUGGGUGGGUUAUAAAAGGGGGGGUGAAGAAGUUGUCAGAUUUAGCAAGUAUGGGGUUGUUUUGGAGAAUUAGGCUCCAGUGUAUGAGUGUAGAACACAGCAGGUAACUCCUGUUUAGUACAGCUCACCUAAACACAAGUUUUGCCUUAGCAAAGAGUGGACAUUAGAUUCUGUGUUGUAGUUGUCAUGUCAUCACAUUCAGAGAUCAGGG